UUUUUUUUUUUUCAUAUUGCACUGAAAAGGGCAGAACUACUGCAGCAGCAACAUUUGGGGGAUAUCAGACAAACCCCAUCCGCUCUGUUCUCCAGAAUCAGCAAAGCAAUUUGUGAGCACUUUGUUAAUUUGGCAUUUUUUAUUGCUCUAGAGUCCCUUUCUUGUCUCCCAGGUGACCUGUGGUGAACCAGAUCCCCCAGACGUGCUCCAGUGCAAGCAGGAAUCCUGGAGUGCACUGGAUUUGCAGCAGGAUGAAGGAGCCUCUCACCUUCCUCUAUCAAAAGGCUGACAGUAAGAGCACACAGAGAGAAGCACGAGAGUUCUAAAAGCUGCUUUUGCAAGCCCAGAUGUGAAAGCGUGGUGCAUAAUCUCUCCUGUUAACUUCUGUUUCUCUAAUAAAGUUAUAGAGAAGUCUUCUGAUCAUCCAGCUAUGAAAAGCACCAUGACUGGUUCUGCCCAGAAGCUGCAUGAAUACAUGUGGAGCAGAAAAGUUGCUCUUUAUAGCCAGCUGUAAAAUUCUUUCAAGCCCUGUGAAUGUUCAAGCCUGAGAAGGCUUUUCUCACCAAGAUAUAGAAUAGCUUCAGCAUACCAGCCUUCAGCAGUGUGUAUAAGUCAAGAUUUCACUCCAAGCCUUUCACUCCACUUUAUUGGUGAAACUCAAAGUCAGUCAGCCCAUUUCAAGAAGAAAAAUGGCAUUUGGUUCCAGAGAAAAAUGUCAUGUCCCUCAGUCCUAUGUGAAUGAGCCAAUGGUUUAAAGAGCUACCUGAGCAGUGAAGCUGCUAACUCUCUAAGCACAAUGGAGUUUCUUCCAGGUGAUGUACUAAAAUAUUGCUAAACUGCAAGUAUGGACAGUAUUGAAUAAAGUCUUCUUUUUGUGUAUUUAGCA
rnacentral:lncRNA from 1 species